GAAAGAGACCUUCUUAAAACGUUAAAAUGUAUUACUAGCACGAGAAACCUUAAAUUUGAGUGAAUAAAUGAAGACCCGGCACACCAUGUCUGAAAGGAUGCUGACAACUGGGAUAUAAUCUG